rnacentral:miRNA from 1 species
AAACUUUAAUUCGUGCAUGGUCAACGUUUUGUACCUGAUCACGGUCCUUUUUUAAGGUCUUGAGAAAGAACUGUGAUCAGGUCCAAAACGUUGACGAUGCACGAAUGAAAGUUUUU